UCCAUUUUGUGAAAAUUAGAAGCAGAAUUAAAAUUAGUGUUUUAAGAAAUGUGUGUUACAAACCAAAUAAGAAAAUUGCAUACCAGGUCUGUAUACAGAGUUAUAUGCAUCCACUGCAAGUUAUGUGCAGACCAAUGCACACUUUCCUACGAUGAGCCACCUCACUCCAGUUGAGGUGAUUCUUCAGUUGUCAUAUAGAAGUUGUGAAUUGGGAUGGAACUAGAAACAGGCCAUAUUCAAGUUACCAGGGUCACUGGUCUCAAAGGACUUGGCUGUGUCAUAGCUAUUGACAGAUGAAAUGCAUAUAUUUGGUGAUCUGAUGGCU